GUCCACUGACAUCCCCUAAUCAGGAUGGUGCUUCACCAGGGACUAAUGGGACAUCACGAUUACAUCAUUUAAAUAUUUCCACUGAAAGGGAACAUAAAGAGAAGGAAGAUGAGAAAUGAUAAAGGGGAACUGGAAGAAGAUUGGCUGAAAUUCUCAUCACUCACAGAGAAAUAUUGCCAUGAUACCAGCACUUGAAGUUUAUGUCAUUAUUUAAAUGGCUUUGUUUACUCUAAACGGGUGUUUUUAUUAUUUAUUGAUUUUUAUUGUAUUUUAUAAGGAAUUCUUGAGAAAUGAAUUCAAAGUCCACAAUGAUGUUUGAUCGUUUGGUUAAAAAAGUGUGGUUAGAAAGGUGGUUCAAAUCCAGCAAAGUUUUUUCCAUGUACCUGUAUAUCAUCGUUGUGUUGAUCAAACUUUAUAUCUCAGGAACUGAAUUUGUAGUACACUAACUGCACUGAAAGACACUGUGGAGAGAAGCAGAUGCAAAAUGACAAAUAUGUUUUAUAAUUCAGUUUUUUCAAGGCUAAUUGCAACGUGUAAAAGAAAAAUAUUGUUUUAUACACUAUAAUAGUAUGUGACUUACAAGCUGCUCCUCAAACUGUGUACUGGUGUUCAGCUUCUGAAUUAAGGUUUUUUUUUUUUUUUUUUUUUUUUUUACAUUUAAUGUUUAGUGAUAGAAAAUGACAUGUCUUAUAGAUUUCAGAUGUUUGCUAAAUCCACUGAACGUCCUCUGUGUGGAAAUGUGUUCUGCCACUUGAGAUUCUGAUUAGGUUUUUGACUGCCAAGUUUGUGCAUUUCAUGCCAGGAGGAAUAUGGAGACCUGUAGGUGAUUGAAGAACGUCAUCACUGUGAUGGAAAUAAUCGCCUGCACUUGAUCAAGAAAAGGUUAUCAGGGCUGUUUCCAGAGUCAUCUGUUCAGACAGUUCAUCAGCUGCCUACUGAUAACUGAGGUUGAUAUAAGAGCAAUAAGAUUGGGAAGUUGUGGCCUAGUGGUUAGAGAGUUUGACUCCUAACCCUAAGGUUGUGGGUUUGAGUCUUG